CAGGCCUUGACAUCCAAUGAACUUUCCAGAGAUGGAUUGGUGCCUUCGGGAACAUUGAGACAGGUGCUGCAUGGCUGUCGUCAGCUCGUGUCGUGAGAUGUUGGGUUAAGUCCCGUAACGAGCGCAACCCUUGUCCUUAGUUACCAGCACGUCAUGGUGGGCACUCUAAGGAGACUGCCGGUGACAAACCGGAGGAAGGUGGGGAUGACGUCAAGUCAUUAUGGCCCUUACGGCCUGGGCUACACACGUGCUACAAUGGUCGGUACAGAGGGUUGCCAAGCCGCGAGGUGGAGCUAAUCCCAGAAAACCGAUCGUAGUCCGGAUCGCAGUCUGCAACUCGACUGCGUGAAGUCGGAAUCGCUAGUAAUCGCGAAUCAGAAUGUCGCGGUGAAUACGUUCC
rnacentral:rRNA from 1 species